GUGAGAGGCAGUAAUAAAGCAGCUGACAAUACAUGGAAAACAUAUUGAACAGUCAACACCUUCUAUUCACCCAUAGAAUGAUUCCUGGGCGGGAUUAGCAGAGAAGAGACAAGAAGGAGUGCAUAUAUCAUUCACUGGGGGACAGUAACGUGCCUUAUGGAGAUACAGUGAAUUGCCUGUUUCAUGGCACUAAUCUGAAAGCAUCCUUGAAUUCAAUUCAACAGCGUGACUGCCAGACAGCUCUUGAAACCAACAUUAUUCACCAUAGCCAAGAUGUGGAAGCAACCCAAAUGGCCGUCAAUUGAUGAUUGGAUAUAGAAGAUGUGUGGUGAAAACAGAACUUAGUACCAGACCACAUCAGGUUCCAGGGCUGACUGUGCAUCGACGUCUGGCUUGGACAGGUCUAAUGAGCUGGGGUCUCAUACUAUGAGUUCUAGAGAGCCGGAAAGGCAAGUAUAAUCGAGGCCAAAAUAUUGACCAGGUAAGCAAACUGGAAGCGGGAGAGCAGAAGCUCAUCUCCCAUCAGGAGGAAAAGGCACGUCUCCACACAUCACUUUCUUUCUACCUAGUGUUAACCCUGCAAUUCAGGAACAGCUCUUCUGACGUUACAGACAAAUAUGAAGGAUUUCCUGGGAGAAAACGGAAACAUCUUUUAAACCUGGUUGUUUUUUAUUAUUUUGACCAUUGAGUAGCUAUGUAAUCUUCAGCUAAAC
rnacentral:lncRNA from 1 species